rnacentral:misc_RNA from 1 species
GAUGAGAACGCAGCGAAAUGCGAUAAGUAAUGUGAAUUGCAGAAUUCAGUGAAUCAUCGAAUCUUUGAACGCACAUUGCGCCCAUUAGCAUUCUAGUGGGCAUGCCUGUUCGAGCGUCAUUUCAACCCUUAAGCCCUGUUGCUUAGCGUUGGGAGCCUACAGUACUGUAGCUCCCCAAAGUUAGUGGCGGAGUCGGUUUCACACUCUAGACGUAGUAAUUUUUUCUCGUCUGUAGUUGAGCCGGUCCCCUGCCGUAAAACACCCAAUUUAUCAAGGUUGACCUCGGAUCAGGUAGGAAUACCCGCUGAACUUAAGCAUAUCAAUAAGCGGAGGA